AUUGAACGCUGGCGGCAUGCUUUACACAUGCAAGUCGAACGGCAGCGCGGGGCAACCUGGCGGCGAGUGGCGAACGGGUGAGUAAUACAUCGGAACGUACCCAAGCGUGGGGGAUAACGUAGCGAAAGUUACGCUAAUACCGCAUACGAUCUAAGGAUGAAAGUGGGGGAUCGUAAGACCUCUUGCUCCUGGAGCGGCACAUAUCUGAUUAGCUAGUUGGUGAGGUAAAGGCUCAACAAGGCAUCGAUCAGUAGCUGGUAUGAGAGGAAGACCAGCCACACUGGAACUGAGAAACGGUCCAGACUCCUACGGGAGGCAGCAGUGGGGAAUUUUGGACAAUGGGGGCAACCCUGAUCCAGCAAUGCCGCGGGAGUGAAGAAGGCCUUCGGGUUGUAAAGCUCUUUUGUCAGGGAAGAAGCGGUGAAGGCUAAUAUCCUUUGCUAAUGACGGUACCUGAAGAAUAAGCACCGGCUAACUACGUGCCAGCAGCCGCCGUAAUAC
rnacentral:rRNA from 1 species